CGGGCAGCCGCCUCGCCCCUCCUGGUCAGGGUGGGGGCGUACCAAGAGGACAUCCAAUGCAGGGGCAAAGAGGAAAAAUAACACCGCGGGAGGUAACAGGAGAACCAUCAACCCAGUCUCCCAGUCAUCCUUCUCGGGCUUUCCUGGUGGUGCAGUGGUUAAGAAUCUGCCUGGCAAUGCAGGGGACAUGGGUUCGAGCCCUGGUCCAGGGAGAUCCCACAUAUUGUGGAGCAGCUAAGUCCGUGCACCACAACUACUAAGCCUGCGCUCUAGAGCCCGCGUGCCGCAACUACUGAGCCUGCAUGCUGCAACUACUGAAGCCCGUGCGCAACAAGAGAAGAGCCCAUGCUCCACAACAAGAGAAGCCACCGCAAUGAGAAGACUGCACACCACAACAAAGAGUAGCCCCUGCUCGCCGCAACUAGAGAAAACCUGCACGCAGCAACGAAGACCCAACACAGCCAAAAAAAUAAAAUAAAAAGAAAUAAAUUUUUU